rnacentral:tRNA from 1 species
GGACUGGGGCUUAGUGGUAGAGCACUUGCCUGGCAUGCGUGAGGCACUGGGUUCAAUCCUCAGCACCA